rnacentral:rRNA from 1 species
GACGAACGCUGGCGGCGUGCUUAACACAUGCAAGUCGAACGAUGAAGCUGGAGCUUGCUCCGGUGGAUUAGUGGCGAACGGGUGAGUAACACGUGAGCAAUCUGCCCUUGACUCUGGGAUAACUGCGGGAAACUGUAGCUAAUACCGGAUAUGAGAUCUGAAGGCAUCUUCGGGUUUGGAAAGCAUUUCGGUCAAGGAUGAGCUCGCGGCCUAUCAGCUAGUUGGUGAGGUAAUGGCUCACCAAGGCGACGACGGGUAGCCGGCCUGAGAGGGUGACCGGCCACACUGGAACUGAGACACGGUCCAGACUCCUACGGGAGGCAGCAGUGGGGAAUAUUGCACAAUGGGCGAAAGCCUGAUGCAGCAACGCCGCGUGAGGGAUGAAGGCCUUCGGGUUGUAAACCUCUUUUAGCAGGGAAGAAGCGAAAGUGACGGUACCUGCAGAAAAAGCACCGGCUAACUUCGUGCCAGCAGCCGCGGUAA